rnacentral:lncRNA from 1 species
UUUCACAAAGCCUCACCUAGUCCCAUGGGGCCAAUUUCUCCUCCCCGGCCGGAGCGCAGAAUUCAAUUUUGAAGAAUUUUCAGCUAGAGGAACCCAAGACUUUCUGUAUCAACAAUUGCUGGAGUGGUGGUUGGUAAGGGAGGGCGUUAGAGGGGGUGUAACCAGGCAAACCUUUGCAGAGAACAGCAGCAAAGGUGUGGUGUGGUGAUCUCAGGUAGUGCUGAAGACAAGAGGAGGUUGAAGUUUUUAGGUUAUAAGAUCAAGAAAAUGUCUUUCAUCUGUAAUUUAAUUAAAAACUUGGGAGAAAUGUAUUUUCUUUUCACUUGGAAUAAAAGGAAC